AUGAACGCUGGCGGCGUGCCUAAUACCUGCCAGUCGAGCGAACGGACGAGGGGCUUGCUCCUCUGACGUUAGCGGCGGACGGGUGAGUAACACGUGGAUAACCUACCUAUAAGACUGGGAUAACUUCGGGAAACCGGAGCUAAUACCGGAUAAUAUAUUGAACCGCAUGGUUCAAUAGUGAAAGACGGUUUUGCUGUCACUUAUAGAUGGAUCCGCGCCGCAUUAGCUAGUUGGUAAGGUAACGGCUCACCAAGGCAACGAUGCGUAGCCGACCUGAGAGGGUGAUCGGCCACACUGGAACUGAGACACGGUCCAGACUCCUACGGGAGGCAGCAGUAGGGAAUCUUCCGCAAUGGGCGAAAGCCUGACGGAGCAACGCCGCGUGAGUGAUGAAGGUCUUCGGAUCGUAAAACUCUGUUAUUAGGGAAGAACAAAUGUGUAAGUAACUAUGCACGUCUUGACGGUACCUAAUCAGAAAGCCACGGCUAACUACGUG
rnacentral:rRNA from 1 species